rnacentral:rRNA from 1 species
GAUGAACGCUGGCGGCGUGCUUAACACAUGCAAGUCGAACGAUGAAGCCCAGCUUGCUGGGUGGAUUAGUGGCGAACGGGUGAGUAACACGUGAGUAACCUGCCCUUGACUCUGGGAUAAGCCUGGGAAACUGGGUCUAAUACUGGAUAUGACUUCUCAUCGCAUGGUGGGGGGUGGAAAGAUUUAUUGGUCUUGGAUGGACUCGCGGCCUAUCAGCUUGUUGGUGAGGUAAUGGCUCACCAAGGCGACGACGGGUAGCCGGCCUGAGAGGGUGACCGGCCACACUGGGACUGAGACACGGCCCAGAGUCCUACGGGAGGCAGCAGUGGGGAAUAUUGCACAAUGGGCGCAAGCCUGAUGCAGCGACGCCGCGUGAGGGAUGACGGCCUUCGGGUUGUAAACCUCUUUCAGUAGGGAAGAAGCGAGAGUGACGGUACCUGCAGAAGAAGCGACGGCUAACUACGUG